rnacentral:misc_RNA from 1 species
AAGUCGUAACAAGGUUUCCGUAGGUGAACCUGCGGAAGGAUCAUUAUUGAAUGAACUUGGUAUGAUUGUUGCUGGUCCUUUUGGGACAUGUGCACAUCUGCCAUCUUUAUAUCUCCACCUGUGCACACAUUGUAGGUCUGGAAUAACUAUCUGGGGUAACUCAGUUGUUGGAAUUGCUGCUGGAAAGUUGCUUUUCUUGUGUUUCCAGAUCUAUGUUUUCAUAUACACCAUAAGAAUGUAACAGAAUGUAUUAAUGGGUCUUGUACCUAUAAACUAUAUACAACUUUCAGCAACGGAUCUCUUGGCUCUC